rnacentral:tRNA from 1 species
GUUUAGAUAGCUCAGUUGGUUAGAGCAUAGAGUUGAAAACUCUUGUGUGGUAGGUUCGAAUCCUACUCUAGACG